rnacentral:lncRNA from 1 species
AGUUUGCUGCUACAUAUUUUGUAGUUAUUGAACACUACAUUUAACUACAAUUGACUACAUUAAAACUACAGUUUGCAUUAAUGUACAGACUUGAACUACUUAUUUUGUAGCUGUUAUUUGUAGUUUUGUAGCUGUUAUUUGUAUUUUGUAGCUGGCUCACAGCUUUAAUAUACAGACUUGAACUACAUAUGACUUAGCUGGCUCACUGUUAUUUGUAACUAACA